rnacentral:rRNA from 1 species
ACGAACGCUGGCGGCGUGCUUAACACAUGCAAGUCGAGCGGUAGGGCCUUUCGGGGUACACGAGCGGCGAACGGGUGAGUAACACGUGGGUGAUCUGCCCUGCACUCUGGGAUAAGCCUGGGAAACUGGGUCUAAUACUGGAUAUGACCUGCUCUCGCAUGGGGGUGGGUGGAAAGAUUUAUCGGUGCAGGAUGGGCCCGCGGCCUAUCAGCUUGUUGGUGGGGUAAUGGCCUACCAAGGCGACGACGGGUAGCCGACCUGAGAGGGUGACCGGCCACACUGGGACUGAGACACGGCCCAGACUCCUACGGGAGGCAGCAGUGGGGAAUAUUGCACAAUGGGCGGAAGCCUGAUGCAGCGACGCCGCGUGAGGGAUGAAGGCCUUCGGGUUGUAAACCUCUUUCAGCAGGGACGAAGCGUGAGUGACGGUACCUGCAGAAGAAGCACCGGCUAACUACGU